rnacentral:misc_RNA from 1 species
GCCAAGAAGUCAGUAUGAUAAAUGAGAGAGAGAGAGAGAGAGAGAGAGAGAGAGAGAGAGAGAGAGAGAGAGAGAGAGAGAGAGAGAGAGAGAGAGAGAGAGAGAGAGAUAAUGUGUAUAUGAUCAUAUCCGUUCCCCGUUCCUUAAAUUAAAAUUGUAAUAUAGUAGAAAAAACACUCAUAAGAUUGUCAUGUAAGUCCCCUUCCGUAAAAUAAAACCAGAAUGGCCAAACAAAUCUGACAAGCAGGUAAAAUAAGUAGGAAUAUUCAAGAUGAAUACUUGUACAUUAAACUUGUCAACAGAUUCCAAGUUUCUUAUUUGAUCAACAUAUUUUUUUCUACAAGUAUAAUGAUCAUGGUAUGAUAAUUAUUUAUCAUAACCAUCCAUGAUCGUUUGUUCACUGUCUUCAGUGUAUGUAUGAUCAUAAAUUAUGACUGAGAAUUCUAUUUUAGCAUUUUGUGGAUCCCAGUGGUCCCACUGAGGAAUAUCCAGAUCCAAUACCUUCUGAUGGUUCAAACAUUAGAAAAAGCAGACGUCAUUGGAGAGAACGAAGCGGGCCAUACCAUAAUAUUCAACAAAAUUCACAUACAACAACUGCAAGUAAUACAUGUACAACCUCGCCUAAAGAAUGUAUUGAUGAGAUUGGGGAGUCGUCAUUGGAUAGGGGGCCAACUCCAGCUGAAAAUUGUUUUGAGGGGCUAUCAUUACUUGCAGAUUCAUGUCAGAUAGACCAUCUAAUGCAGAAAAAGCUACAAGAGACAGAGGAAAAACUUCAUCAUCAGACAGUUCUUAACCAGCAUUUAAACUUACAAUUAUCAACCGUUCGAAAAUAACCAGAAGUUCAAAUUGAAGGCCUCAAUAUUGAGAAAAUUAUUCAGCAAGAGAAGAAAAUCACUGGUUUAUUUUUCUACUACACUAACCUUAAACAUUCAACUUUUGUAACUUUGUACAACAUUUUAACUGAACAACAAAUGCCAGUUUUCCCAAAGAAAAGGAAAGAUGUCAAGACUAUGAAACCAGAAACUCAACUACUAUUAACUCUGAUGCGACUUCGCCAUAACUUUGGAUUGAAAGACCUAGCUGCUAGGUUUUUUAUAUCAACUCAGUCUGUGAGUGAAAUAUUUUCUGCGUGGAUUGAACAUAUGUAUUUGAUCCUUGGAUCCAUACCAAUAUGGCCACACAGAAAUGACAUAAUUCGAAAUAUGCCUUCGCAAUUCAGAGUAGAAUUUCCUGACACUUUAGCCAUUAUUGAUUGCACAGAAGUUAAGACCCAAAAACCGUCAUCGUUAAAAUUACAGUCACAGAUGUACUCUGAUUAUAAGUCAGCAACAACCCUGAAAGGACUGGUAGCAUGUGACCCCAUGGGCAACAUAAUUUUUGUAAGUGAGCUGUUUACAGGAUCAAUGUCUGAUGUAGAAAUUGCAGCAAAGAGUGGGUUUUAUAAACUCUUGGAGCAGCUCAUUUUAACAGGAUAUAUUCUUCAUGGAGAUUCUAUUAUGGCCGACAAAGGUUUCACGAUAUCUGGUGAACUUCAGAAUGUUGGAUUGCAUCUAAACUUACCAUCUUUUGUGAAUUCGGGUAUUCAAAUGUGUCAGGCAGAUGUAGAAAUUACACAAAAAAAUGCAGCCCAUUGUAUUCAUGUUGAAAGGGCAAUUAGGAAAAUAAGAACCUUCAAAAUAUUGUCUGGUUGCAUUCCUACUAGUCUGUUUGGAUCAAUUAAUAAAAUCUGGACCGUUUGUGUACUACUAACUCUGUGGCAGAAUCCGGUGUUGAAAAAUAAGUGAUUUUUUUUGCUUACUAAAAAACAUGUAUUUGAUAUGUACAAUCUUGAUUCUUGAAUUGAACAUGUAUGUAUUCAAUAUAUAUGGUUACAUAC